GACGAACGCUGGCGGCGUGCCUAAUACAUGCAAGUCGACCUUAGUGGCGAACGGGUGAGUAACACGUGGGUAACCUGCCCAUCAGAAGGGGAUAACCCUUGGAAACAGGUGCAAAUACCGUCAACUGAUGGAUGGACCCGGGGUGCAUUCGCUAGUUGGGGAGGUAAGGGCUCACCAAGUCCACGAUGCAUAGCUGACCGGAGAGCGUGACCGGCCACAUUGGUACUGAGACACGGCCCAAACUCCUACGGGAGGCAUCAGUGGGGAAUCUUCGGCAAUGGACGAAAGUCUGACCGAGCAACGCCGCGUGAGUGAAGAAGGUUUUCGGAUCGUAAAACUCUUGUGUUAGAGAAGCGGUAUCUAACCAGAAAGCCACGGCUAACUACGUGCCAGCAGCCGCGGUAAUAC
rnacentral:rRNA from 1 species